ensembl:lncRNA
CAGUGGAGGAAAAGGACUACGGGGGUUCGGUUGAGUUGUCCUGCUUUGUGUUGAGAUCCUCUGAGUGUGAACACACAGUAAAGUGGCUUUAUGACGGCAAACAGACUGAUGUGAUGACGACAUCACACGCUGCUUGUGAAGCUACUGUGACGUUUAAAGCUCCUCUUCAUCAGAAGUCAAAGUAUUAUAAGUCACUGAGAUGUGAAGUGAGAAACAAUCAGAGUGGAAAAACUCUGCUGUUUGAAGCCUGCAGUCAGUUCUCAUGUGAACAAACAGGUACGUUUGUGAAAAGACGACAUCAUUUUAUUCCUCAUUCAGUCUCCUCAGGUAUAAACACUGAUUUAUUUCACC